AUCUCAGAGUUGAUGAGUCCCAAAUAGAACGAAACGCACGUCCUGGAU
rfam:Schistosoma rodhaini strain Burundi genome assembly, scaffold: SROB_scaffold0003812